rnacentral:lncRNA from 1 species
GUCGGAGUGUCAACAUGCAAGAUGGCGGCCCAUCACCGGCAGAACACAGCCGGGCGGAGAAAAGUGCAGGCUGGCAGAAAACGGUGGAGGCCAACACACAAGACUAGCAUUUGUUCGUGGCUAACAGCCUGGGGUUUAUAGUGUCCUGGACAUCUCACAGCAGGAACUGGGGCUCUGCACCAGGCCCUUGGAUUUCUCCUGUUCUUGUGAAACAAGAGGCACAUUUUGUCCUGCAAGACUUGAAUAAAAUUUAUGUGAAA